AUUGAACGCUGGCGGCAGGCCUAACACAUGCAAGUCGAACGUGUGGCGGACGGGUGAGUAAUGUAUGGGAAACGGCUCGCUGGAGGGGGAUAACUACUGGAAACGGUAGUUAAUACCGCAUACCAUCAGCUGUGCUCAGAUGGGAGUAGCUUGUAGAUGUGGUAACGGCUCACCGAGGCGACGAUCCCUAACCGGUCUGAGAGGAUGACCGGCCACACUGGAACUGAGGCGCGGUCCGACCUCCUACGGGGGGCGGCGGUGGGGAAUAUUGCACAAGGGACGCAAGCCUGCUGCGGCAAUGCCGCGUGUAUGAAGAAGGCCUUCGGGUUGUAAAGUACUUUCGGAGGGGAGGCGUUACCCGACGAGAAAGCAACGGCUAACUCCGUGCCAGCAGCCGCGGUAAUAC
rnacentral:rRNA from 1 species